rnacentral:rRNA from 1 species
UACGUAGGGUGCAAGCGUUGUCCGGAAUUAUUGGGCGUAAAGAGCUCGUAGGCGGUCUGUCGCGUCGGCUGUGAAAACUCGGGGCUCAACUCCGAGCUUGCAGUCGAUACGGGCAGGCUAGAGUUCGGCAGGGGAGACUGGAAUUCCUGGUGUAGCGGUGAAAUGCGCAGAUAUCAGGAGGAAUACCGGUGGUGUAGACGGCUCUCUGGACCGUAACUGACACUGAGACACGAAAGCGUGGGUAGCAAACAGG